CUUGAGCCAUGAAGAACGUAGACUAAUUCACCAGCCUAGCCAAGCUGUCCGCGCCGAGCCUCUGACCACAAAUCUUCCUGCACAUCUUUUUUAGGACCAGAAGUCAAUUCCAAGCAGAUUCAACACGACAAAGAAGGUGCCACACAGAUGGUUUCGCUGUGGUAUCCCCUGGAGCAACCACACGGAGUCGAGCCGCUUCGUCUGGCCAAGCGAACCGUGAAUUGCCCAAAUCGGGUCCUGUAAGCCCCAAAUUUGUCAAGUCUAGAGAAACCAUUAAGCUCUUCUACCACCACCAAUUGACGCAAGGAGACACCGUGGAGAAGCCAACCACACUAUUAAAAAAAAAUCACAUAUGUAGAUCUGAUUUAGAGAGAGAGAGAAUGAGAGAGAGAGAAAUUGAGAGAGAGAGAGAAAUUGAG
rnacentral:lncRNA from 1 species